rnacentral:rRNA from 1 species
AAUCAACGCUGGCGGCGCGCCUCAGACAUGCAAGUCGAACGAUUAAAGCUCUCUUCGGAGAGUGCAUAGGGUGGCGCACGGGUGAGUAACACGUAAGUAAUCUGCCCUCGAGUGGGGAAUAACGUCCGGAAACGGGCGCUAAUACCGCAUAAUGCAGCGGCAUCAUAAGAUGACAGUUGUUAAAGAUUUAUCGCUUGAGGAGGAGCUUGCGGCAGAUUAGCUAGUUGGUAAGGUAACGGCUUACCAAGGCUACGAUCUGUAACCGGUCUUAGAGGACGGUCGGUCACACUGACACUGAAUAACGGGUCAGACUCCUACGGGAGGCAGCAGUCGGGAAUUUUGGGCAAUGGGCGAAAGCCUGACCCAGCAACGCCGCGUGAAGGAUGAAGUAUUUCGGUAUGUAAGUUUCGAAAGAAUAGGAAGAAUUAAUGACGGUACUAUUUAUAAGGUCCGGCUAACUACGUGCCAGCCGCCGCCGUAAUAC